rnacentral:tRNA from 1 species
UUAUAUAUAGUUUAAUUAAAACAUUACAUUUUCAUUGUAAAAAUAAAAAAAUUUUUUUUAUAAA